GGGCAACCCUGAUCCAGCCAUGCCGCGUGAGUGAAGAAGGCCUUCGGGUUGUAAAGCUCUUUCAGAUGCGAAGAUGAUGACGGUAACAUCAGAAGAAGCCCCGGCUAAUUUCGUGCCAGCAGCCGCGGUAAUACGAAAGGGGCUAGCGUUGUUCGGAUUUACUGGGCGUAAAGGGCACGCAGGCGGUCUUGCCAGUCAGGGGUGAAAGCCCGGGGCUCAACCCCGGAACUGCCUCUGAUACUGCAAGACUAGAGACUAGGAGAGGGUGGUGGAAUUCCCAGUGUAGAGGUGAAAUUCGUAGAUAUUGGGAGGAACACCAGAGGCGAAGGCGGCCACCUGGACUAGAUCUGACGCUCAGGUGCGAAAGCGUGGGGAGCAAACAGGAUUAGAUACCCUGGUAGUCCACGCCGUAAACGAUGAGUGCUAGUUGUCGGGACUUCGGUUUCGGUGACGCAGCUAACGCAUUAAGCACUCCGCCUGGGGAGUACGGUCGCAAGAUUAAAACUCAA
rnacentral:rRNA from 1 species